AGAGUUUGAUCCUGGCUCAGGAUAAACGCUGGCGGCGCACAUAAGACAUGCAAGUCGAACGAACUUAACUUAUAGUUUACUAUUGGAGCGGUUAGUGGCGGACUGGUGAGUAACGCGUAAGCAAUCUGCCUAUCAGAGGGGAAUAACAGUGAGAAAUCACUGCUAAUACCGCAUAAGCUGUGAGUAUCGCAUGAUACAAGCAGAAAAGGGGCAAUCCGCUGAUAGAUGAGCUUGCGUCUGAUUAGUUAGUUGGCGAGGUAACGGCCCACCAAGACGAUGAUCAGUAGCCGG
rnacentral:rRNA from 1 species